rnacentral:lncRNA from 1 species
AAUUAUGGCCAGCUGCUUCUUAGGAAAAAAAAAAAGGACUGCAUUUACUGUAGGUCCUGCUUUGUAUUUGCCCCAAAUCCCAGCCACGUGUUUCUCCUGCCCACAGUAGAGAGCCAUGGAAAUAGACAGCAUCAUAAAACAGAUAUUUCAAGGCUGUGUGAGCCCCGCCCCACCCUUUCUGGAAGGCGAGGCAUUGGCGACAUUUAACCACCUGUAAGGGCUGAGCUCCUUCAUAGCUGCUGCUCCUUUUCUGAACAAACAGCCAAGCUCAGCUGGGAGGCAUCCUUAAAGGUCAGCUCCUCCUCCCUCCAAAGCUUGAAUUUCUCCCCAUGCAUCACUAGUUGUGCCUUUUUUUUCCUGCAAAACCAGUCACCACACUUGAAGCAGACUGAGCACCCACUGCCCAUGGGGUAGGAAGAGUGGUAAUACAAUGGCUGGAGGUCUGGCCCCAUGAGCUGGGUCCUCCUGUAGUAUUUUCAAGCUUGGAAAAGGUACAGCACUGAGAUAAGGGGAAGAAACCCUAGCCACAGAGCUCAAGCUGAGAGCGGGGCUCGGAGGCCCUGCCUCCUGUUGGUCCCCAAGGCUGCCCCCAGACUGGGGAGGGGCUCUCCAGGUGAUUUUGAUUUGGCUGUCUGGAUGCUGAAGAAUUCCUUUAUUUAUUUAUUUUUAGUCCUUGACGUUCAAUAAUGGCUCACUAUUACUUUGGUUUGAACAGAAGUUCGUUUUAAGAACCUUGAAGGAAACAACGUGUCCAAAGCAGAGGGCUUGGUCAGCUGUGAGACGUAUGGAAAAGAGAGCAUCACCAAGGAUCCCUUUAUCUUUUAUCCCAUACCAGCUCUGCCCCCAGGAGUGGGAGAUUUCACCAUCAGACUCCAGAAAUUCUGGUCCCAAAGGCAAGAUGUCCCUACUGUGAGCCUGAUGUUUAAACAUGAAGUUCACCUGACUCCCCCUCUUCUGAUUUCAUGUCCUCAUGGCAAUUUUCUGGUGCCAGUGAAGGGCUGCUCAUGUAGAGAGAGAAUGCAAAAAAAAAAAAAAAAAAAAAAAAAAAAAAUAC